rnacentral:lncRNA from 1 species
AGGAAGAAGAACUCUUCCCCUUCGACGCCUUCAUCGACGAUCGUGGCGCCACGCGCAGCGACUCUCCGAAUAUGGAGCUCCCUUUCGAGCUCUUUUUACAUGCAGGGACGGAGCUAGGAUUUUAGAAAUGAGCGGUCGAAACUAUAAUUUUGUAUUUUGAAACAAAAUUUGAACGUCGAAAUCACAAUUUUGUGUAAUUUCGCCGUCCACGUUUCGCCCGCAAUAAGUAUGGUAUUUCUAUUUUGAUACACAUAUCGUUAUAUUUUUAACCUCGUUCAACUCAAUAUUAUCUACAAAAAAAAA